GUGCCAGCAGCCGCGGUAAUACGUAGGGGGCAAGCGUUGUCCGGGGAAUUAUUGGGCGUAAAGAGCUCGUAGGCGGUUUGUCGCGUCUGCUGUGAAAUCCCGAGGCUCAACCUCGGGCUUGCAGUGGGUACGGGCAGACUAGAGUGCGGUAGGGGAGAUUGGAAUUCCUGGUGUAGCGGUGGAAUGCGCAGAUAUCAGGAGGAACACCGAUGGCGAAGGCAGAUCUCUGGGCCGUAACUGACGCUGAGGAGCGAAAGCAUGGGGAGCGAACAGGAUUAGAUACCCUGGUAGUCC
rnacentral:rRNA from 1 species